rnacentral:snoRNA from 1 species
UCCAGCUGUAGACAGCAGCCUUGGUUGUCUUACACCUAGGCAAGUGUUACACGACUGGGAAAAAAGCACCCAGUAGCUGGCAGGCAUU